CGGUCUGUCAAAGGGAUACUACUUGCGGCUCAUAACCGCUUGGUUGGGGGUUCGAGUCCCUCCGGGCCCACCA
rnacentral:tRNA from 1 species